rnacentral:rRNA from 1 species
GACGAACGCUGGCGGCGUGCUUAACACAUGCAAGUCGAACGGAAAGGCCUCUUUCGGGGGGUACUCGAGUGGCGAACGGGUGAGUAACACGUGAGUAACCUGCCCUUGACUUUGGGAUAACUUCAGGAAACUGGGGCUAAUACCGGAUAGGAGCUCCUGCUGCAUGGUGGGGGUUGGAAAGUUUCGGCGGUUGGGGAUGGACUCGCGGCUUAUCAGCUUGUUGGUGGGGUAGUGGCUUACCAAGGCUUUGACGGGUAGCCGGCCUGAGAGGGUGACCGGCCACAUUGGGACUGAGAUACGGCCCAGACGCCUACGGGAGGCAGCAGUGGGGAAUAUUGCACAAGGGGUGGAGGCCGGAUGCAGCAACGCCGUGGGCGGGAUGACGGCCUUCGGGUUGUAAACCGCUUUCGCUCAUGACGAAGCUUUGUGUGACGGUAGUGGGUAAAGAAGCACCGGCUAACUACGUG